AAUAUAAAAAAAAAAUCGACCAAUUUUCAUUGUAGAUGAAAAGCUAUUUCUCAUUUGGAAAAAAUGUUUUGAUGGGAAAAAUUCAAGCAGUCCCAGUUCCAAUCUCGGCGAGCUCUAUGUGGGUAGAUUCCCCUGGCCACGUGGAGCUCAUUACAAGAUCAGACACUCCUUUUGUAACUUAAUUAGGGGAGUGAAUAUGUUAUUUAGACAAGUGCAUCGUCAGAACUAAGCCUGGGUUGGUGACAUGGAGUCGGGAUGCUCCAGGACUGUUCAUGGGAUGGAGGGAGGUGCCGGCUCGCUGGACUCCAGGAGGCCGAGCUGCAGCUGGGGAGGGAUUUGGUCCUUUCUGGGUUCCGGUCGGGAGUUCUGUGAAUGUGGAAAGUCUCUGCCCCCGCAUCCAGCCUGCACAGUUAUAUAAGACUUGAACCGCAUCCCCCGCUCCUUCGCGGCCGCUCACAACGCGCUGGGGGCCGGAGCCAGAUGGAGGAAGGUUCCGUCAGGAAAGUUUAACUCAGCGGGGAAGCUGCAGCCAGUGGAGGACACGAUUCUCUCGCUGAACUCUCCAAAAGCCUUGGAAAUCUUACAGUUGUGUCAUAUGCUGGUUUGGGGAAUGCGAGCAGUCCGGAGGCAGCCGCCAGCCCUCUUUCACUUCUUUAUUUUUUUUCUCUUCGCUUUGCACUGAGUUUAAUUUGGGUAGCAGGAUUCAGCAUUUUUAAAUUGGAAAAAUCUUGGUGGAAGAAGAUAUUUUAGGAAAACCCUGUCAUGUGAACUAGCGGGAGCCGAUCAAACCGAGCUAUUAAAAGAAAGAUAUUGUAUUUUUAAA